UGGGGAUGUACUCAAGUGGCUGAAGAGGUGCCCCUGCUAAGGGCAUAGGUCGCAUUGCGCGGCGCGAGAGUUCAAAUCUCUCCAUCUCCGU
rnacentral:tRNA from 2 species